UACGGGGGGGGCAAGCGUUGUUCGGAAUUACUGGGCGUAAAGGGCUCGUAGGCGGCCAACUAAGUCAGGGGUGAAAUCCUGGAGCUCAACUCCAGAACUGCCUUUGAUACUGGGGAUCUCGAGUCCGGAAGAGGUGAGUGGAACUCCGAGUGUAGAGGUGAAAUUCGUAGAUAUUCGGAAGAACACCAGUGGCGAAGGCGGCUCACUGGUCCGGUACUGACGCUGAGGUGCGAAAGCGUGGGGAGCAAACAGG
rnacentral:rRNA from 1 species